rnacentral:rRNA from 1 species
AACGAACGCUGGCGGCAUGCCUAACACAUGCAAGUCGAACGAGACCUUCGGGUCUAGUGGCGCACGGGUGCGUAACGCGUGGGAACCUGCCCUUAGGUUCGGAAUAACUCCCCGAAAGGGGUGCUAAUACCGGAUAAUGUCUUCGGACCAAAGAUUUAUCGCCUUUGGAUGGGCCCGCGUUGGAUUAGCUAGUUGGUAGGGUAAAAGCCUACCAAGGCGACGAUCCAUAGCUGGUCUGAGAGGAUGAUCAGCCACACUGGGACUGAGACACGGCCCAGACUCCUACGGGAGGCAGCAGUGGGGAAUAGUGGACAAUGGGCGAAAGGCUGAUCCAGCAAGGCCGCGUGAGUGAUGAAGGCCGUAGGGUUGUAAAGCGCUUUUACCCGGGACGAUAAUGACAGUACCGGGAGAAUAAGCGCCGGCUAACUCCGUG